AUUUGCAGUCUUAAUAAUUAACUCUCAAACUAAUCUGUCAAUAUAUAAUCUUAUGACAUAGUGAAUGACUUCCUAUUUUGUGCUGUACAGUAUUGACAGAAAUCUCUUGGGAUGACCCAUAUCAAUCUCUUUUGAGACUACCUUAUCAUCAAUCUUCCCAUUAUUCCUAUCAUUAUUUGAACCAGUACCUGCUUGCCUUCGGCUCCUCCUCCUCUACAGGCUUGCAUCCAGGCUCUGUGAGGUGCACGGUGACCCUACCUGCAUGCAUAAGAGGAUCAUUUCCUCUUUUUCCCAUCCCCCCUUCCUUCCAUCUGGGAUUUUCCAUCUGGGAUUUUGAGCCAAUCACGGCUAACUACUCAGGUUUUUCAGUCCAUUUUUUCAGACUACUGCCCCCCAUUGGUUCCUGACGAAGCCCCCUUGGGCGAAACUAGUAGAACCGUUACAUGUGGGAUGAAAUGAAGAUCACCUGCAUCU